GAUGAAGAACGCAGCGAAAUGCGAUACGUAAUGUGAAUUGCAGAAUUCAGUGAAUCAUCGAAUCUUUGAACGCACAUUGCGCCCCUUGGUAUUCCAUGGGGCAUGCCUGUUCGAGCGUCAUCUACACCCUCAAGCUCUGCUUGGUGUUGGGCGUCUGUCCCGCCCCCGCGCGUGGACUCGCCCCAAAUCCAUUGGCAGCGUUCCUUGCCCCCUCUCGCGCAGCACAUUGCGCUUCUCGAGGGCGGCUCCGGGACGCGAUCCAGCAAGAUGACCACCGUCUUUGACCUCGGAUCAGGUAGGGAUACCCGCUGAACUUAAGCAUAUCAAUAAGCGGAGGA
rnacentral:misc_RNA from 1 species